GGAAGCUGAAGGAGAGGAAGGGCAUGAAUUGUUGAGUGCUUUUAAGGUUGCCAAUUUCUGUAGUGCUGAAGAUGAUGGGAGUUUCUGGAGUCGUUGGAUAAAACCUGAAGCAGUAGCUCAAGCUGAAGAAGCAUUGGCCCCUCGUGCUGCAAGGAACAACAAGAGCUAUGCUGAGGCUAGCCAAUCUGAGAGAAGUAACAAAAGGAAAAAGAAAAAUUCUGAGCUUCCGGAACCACAGGAGCGAGAGAAGAAACGUCGC
rnacentral:misc_RNA from 1 species